AGAGUUUGAUCCUGGCUCAGGACGAACGCUGGCGGUGUGCUUCACACAUGCAAGUCGAGCGGAUGAAAACAGUAGCUUGCUACUGUUGGAUUUAGCGGCGGACGGGUGAGUAAUAUAUAGGAAUCUGCCCUAAUGCGGGGAACAACAGACCGAAAGGUCUGCUAAUGCCCCAUAGGUAUGCAGUCUUCGGAUUGUAUAUUAAAGGAGUAAUCCACUUUAGGAUGAGCCUGUAUCCGAUUAGCUUGUUGGCGGGGUAAUGGCCCACCAAGGCUACGAUCGGUAGUUGGUCUGAGAGGAUGAUCAGCCACAAUGGGACUGAGACACGGCCCAUACUCCUACGGGAGGCAGCAGUGGGGAAUUUUACACAAUGGGGGAAACCCUGAUGUAGCGACACCGCGUGAACGAAGAAGCCUUUUGGGGUGUAAAGUUCUGUCGGCUGGAACGAAAAAAAUGACGGUACCAGCAAAGGAAGCAUCGGCUAACUACGUGCCAGCAGCCGCGGUAAGACGUAGGAUGCGAGCGUUGUCCGGAUUUAUUGGGCGUAAAGAGUUCGUAGGCGGUUAUUUAAGUCUGAUGUUAAAUACUGUGGCCUAACCACAGAACUGCAUUGGAUACUGGAUGACUUGAGUGCGGUAGAGGCAAGUGGAAUUCCCAGUGUAGCGGUGAAAUGCGUAGA
rnacentral:rRNA from 1 species